AUGACAAAGUGGAGCUGGCACUGACAGGAGCAGCCCACCCUUCAGGCUGUGGGACACAUUUGGGCCAAGGAAUUCAGUGGGACUGCUUCUCUUGCUGCUGAACUCAGGACCUGCACACACACAUCUCAACAGUAACAAGUGCCAGUCCAAUACAAGAUCUCAGCACUUCUGGGACCCCUGAAAAGCACCAUGAAAUUCAUGUCCAGGCCUGUAGUUGGUGGAGGGACAUCAUCAAGACAGUUUCAUCAUUUUCCAGUCACUGCUCUUGCUACAACCUCACAUAAAGCCUUGCAAGCAGCUGGACAGAGUGUUUCUGGUUGGGGAAGGGUAUUUCUGCUGGCUGGGAUCACUGUCUUGUCAUCAAGCUGCACACCUGCCCUUGAUGCUCACCUCCCCAUGCUACCAGCACUGGAAUGAACAUUUCAACAUUUCAAGGAUUCCCUCUCCUUUCCCUUGACGGUGUUUCCCAUCAAAGAGGAUCUUUUAGAGGUGCUCACUGUAAAUAUUAUCUCAGGUUAUUUUUAUGUUUGCUCUGAGUGCUAGUGUUACCAGAAAAGCCAUCAAGCAGGA